rnacentral:rRNA from 1 species
GAUGAACGCUGGCGGCGUGCCUAAUACAUGCAAGUCGAACGAAACUUCUUUAUCACCGAGUGCUUGCACUCACCGAUAAAGAGUUGAGUGGCGAACGGGUGAGUAACACGUGGGCAACCUGCCCAAAAGAGGGGGAUAACACUUGGAAACAGGUGCUAAUACCGCAUAACCAUAGUUACCGCAUGGUAACUAUGUAAAAGGUGGCUAUACUACCGCUUUUGGAUGGGCCCGCGGCGCAUUAGCUAGUUGGUAGGGUAAAGGCUUACCAAGGCAAUGAUGCGUAGCCGAAUUGAGAGGUUGAUCGGCCACAUUGGGACUGAGACACGGCCCAAACUCCUACGGGAGGCAGCAGUAGGGAAUCUUCCACAAUGGGCGAAAGCCUGAUGGAGCAACGCCGCGUGGGUGAAGAGGGUCUUCGGAUCGUAAAACCCUGUUGUUAGAGAAGAAAGUGCGUGAGAGUAACUGUUCACGUUUCGACGGUAUCUAACCAGAAAGCCACGGCUAACUACGUG